GUGCUUUCGCUGUUUUACGACUUCACACACACACACACACACCGUGAAAAAUGGCCUUUCCUAGCCGCAAGGAUGCGUCCCGCGCGCAGCGCAAGAGCGCCAAAAAGCACCGCCCCGAGAUCAUUGUGAUCGACCUGAAGGAUCACGUACUUGGUCGCGCGGCGGCUGUGGUUGCCAAGCAGCUGCUCCUGGGUAAGAAGAUCACCGUGGUGCGCUGCGAGCAGCUCAACAUUGCCGGUACGGAGAUCCGCAACAAGAUCAAGUACCUGCAGUACCUGCGCAAGCGGAAGCUGACGAACCCUACAAAGGGCCCCUUCCACCACCGUGCCCCGUCCGACGUGUUUGUCCGCACUGUGCGCAGCAUGCUGCCCCGGUACACGAAGCGCGGCAUGAAGGCGCUUAACUCGCUGGUGGCCUACGAGGGAAUUCCGCCCAACGUGGUGCGCACGGGCGGGCGCGUGGUGAUCCCGCGCGCCCAGCGCCAUGUGUGCUACCGCUCGGAGCGCCCCUACACGGUGCUCGGCAACAUGUGCAAGCACGUGGGCUGGAAGUACAGCGACGUCGUCGCCAAUCUCGAGAAGGCUCGCGUGGAGAAGGCGUCCCGCCACCACGAAAAGCAGGCGAAGCUCCGCGAGGCGUGGAAGGCGGCCCGCAAGGAGGCGCUCGCCAAGAUGCCCAAGCACAACGUGGAGGUGCUGAAGAAGUUCGGCUACGCGUAAAUGUGUGCCUGUGCGUUCGUGAGAGAGAAGGAUUGUCUACUUUUUUCACGCUCUCUUUCUCGUACACCGAAACACCUCUUCCCGCGUUCACUGCGCCACCGCCACACGGCAUCUCUAUCUCCUUUCUCUUCCGCGGUGAUGGUGGGCGUGCGGCGGCGGCGGCGAGUUCGGUUUCUUCGCUUUUUAUUUCGUUCUCUUGUGAUUUGACUUACC
rnacentral:misc_RNA from 1 species